AACGAACGCUGGCGGCAUGCCUCCCCCCUGCACGUCGCCCGCGCCCUUCGGGUCUCGUGGCGCCCGUGUGCGUACCGCGUGGGAACCUGCCCUUCGGUUCGGCCUCACUCCCCGACAGGGGUGCUCAUCCCGGCUCCUGUCUUCGGCCCAACGAUUUCUCGCCUUUGGAUGGGCCCGCGUUGGAUUAGCUAGUUGGUAGGGUAAAAGCCUACCAAGGCGACGCUCCAUAGCUGGGCUGAGAGGAUGAUCAGCCCCACUGGGACUGAGACACGGCCCAGACUCCGACGGGAGGCAGCAGUGGGGAAUAGUGGACAAGGGGCGAAAGCCUGAGAAAGCAAUGCCGCGUGAGGGAGGAAGGACGUAGGGUUGUAAAGCGCGGGGACCCGGGAGGAUAAUGACAGGACCGGGAGAAUAAGCGAAGGCGAACGCCGGG
rnacentral:rRNA from 1 species